CCAAUAGCGUAUAUUAAAGUUGUUGCAGUUAAAAAGCUCGUAGUUGAAUUUCAGGCCUGGCUGGACGGUCCGCCUUUUGGGUGAGUACUGUCUGUGGUCGGGUCCUACCUUCUGGCGAAGCGUCAUGGCCUUAACCGGCCGUGGCGGGGAACCAGGACUUUUACUGUGAAAAAAUUAGAGUGUUCAAAGCAGGCAGUCGCUUGAAUACAUUAGCAUGGAAUAAUGGAAUAGGACAAUGGUUCUAUUUGUUGGUUUCUAGGACCGUUGUAAUGAUUAAUAGGGAUAGUUGGGGGCAUUAGUAUUCAAUUGUCAGAGGUGAAAUUCUUGGAUUUAUUGAAGACUAACUACUGCGAAAGCAUUUGCCAAGGAUGUUUUCAUUAAUCAAGAACGAAAGUUAGGGGAUCGAAGACGAUCAGAUACCAUCGUAGUCUUAACCAUAAACUAUGCCGACUAGGGAUCGGAUGAUGUUAAUUUUUUAAUGACUCAUUCGGCGCCUUACG
rnacentral:rRNA from 1 species